rnacentral:rRNA from 1 species
UACGAAGGGGGCUAGCGUUGCUCGGAAUUACUGGGCGUAAAGGGCGCGUAGGCGGCCUUCUAAGUCGAACGUGAAAUCCCCGGGCUCAACCCGGGAACUGCGUCCGAUACUGGAAGGCUUGAAUCCGGGAGAGGGAUGCGGAAUUCCAGGUGUAGCGGUGAAAUGCGUAGAUAUCUGGAGGAACACCGGUGGCGAAGGCGGCAUCCUGGACCGGCAUUGACGCUGAGGAGCGAAAGCCAGGGGAGCAAACGGG